AGAUCCUCUGGUCUCUAUUCCCGCCGAGGCCUGGUUUUACUACGAGUCUGAAGCAGACACAUUUGGGCGGUUUUCUACUCAGAGGAGAGAAUUCAUCAAAUCAAUUGGCCCAGACUUCUGCAGUGUCAAGUGAAGGAAGCUCCUCAUAAGAUUGCAAACCUGGAGUCUGAAGACACUGAGCGAGAGUGAUGAAGUGAGCAGAAUGAUGAAGAUGAAGCCAGAAUUGAAGCCAAGUUCCUGGCUUUUCCCAAGACCUUUAAGAACACAAUUGACCUCGGAAUCAGCUGUAAAGGAGGACGAAACCGAU